AGUGCUGCUUCCGGUCCGUGGCGCUGCGCUCUGGCCGAGCCAGCAUGAUCCGCUGGGCUCCCGGCGCAUCUCCUGGAAGAGCCCACUCACCCUGGACGAGCUCUUCGGUAGCCUCAGAUCGUCCUUGAAGAGGAUGACUGAGACAUUAUGGGCCACGCGCUGUGUGUCUGCUCUCGGGGAACUGUCGUCAUUGACAAUAAGCGCUACCUCUUCAUCCAGAAACUGGGGGAGGGUGGGUUCAGCUAUGUGGACCUAGUGGAAGGGUUACAUGAUGGACACUUCUACGCCCUGAAGCGAAUCCUGUGUCACCGAGCAGCAGGACCGGGAGGAGGCCCAGCGAGAAGCCGACAUGCAUCACCUCUUCAGUCACCCCAACAUCCUUCACCUUGUGGCUUACUGUCUGAGGGAGCGGGGUGCUAAGCAUGAGGCCUGGCUGCUGCUACCAUUCUUCAAGAGAGGUACACUGUGGAAUGAGAUAGAAAGGCUGAAGGACAAAGGCAACUUCCUGACUGAGGAUCAAAUCCUUCGGCUGCUGCUGGGGAUCUGCAGAGGCCUAGAGGCCAUUCAUGCCAAGAGUUAUGCCCACAGAGACCUGAAGCCCACCAAUAUAUUGCUUGGAGAUGAAGGGCAGCCAGUUUUAAUGGACUUGGGUUCCAUGAAUCAAGCAUGCAUCCACGUGGAGGGCUCCCGCCAAGUCCUGACCCUGCAGGACUGGGCAGCCCAGCAGUGCACCAUCUCCUACCGAGCCCCAGAACUCUUCUCUGUGCAGAGUCACUGUGUCAUCGAUGAGCGGACUGAUGUCUGGUCCCUAGGCUGCGUGCUAUAUGCCAUGAUGUUUGGGGAAGGCCCUUAUGACAUGGUGUUCCAGAAGGGUGACAGUGUGGCCCUUGCUGUGCAGAACCAACUCAGCAUCCCACAAAGCCCCAGGCAUUCUUCAGCAUUGCGGCAGCUCCUGGCCUCGAUGAUGACCGUGGACCCACAGCAGCGUCCUCACAUUCCUCAACUCCUCAGUCAGCUGGAGGAGCCACAGCCCCCAGCUCCUGGCCAGCACACUACCCAAAUCUGAAAUAACAGUGGCAUGUUGAGAAGGUGAUCCCUCAUGCCUUAGAAAGAGGUUCCCAUCCCUCAUUGGAAUCUCCCCCCAUUCCGUCCAGGACUGCUCUCUUACACUUGGGGGUAGUGGGGUCAGGACAGUCAUCUCAGUCCUGCAUCCACUCUUCUGCUUUCUUACUUCCAAGAGCAAAACCUGGGCAAGGAGCCUUACUGAAUGGGGGUGGGUGGGGGUUGGGAAAAGGGAAACUGCUGGGAUAUGGAACAUGGCUCUGAGUGGGACUGCUGAGCUCAUAUCAUGUUCUGCCUCCAAAUCUGGGAGCAGGAGAAUGUAUAAAGAAUAAAGUGGAAACAGGUUGGUGUGGA